rnacentral:tRNA from 1 species
UGGGGCUAUAGCUCAGCUGGGAGAGCGCUUGCAUGGCAUGCAAGAGGUCUGCGGUUCGAUCCCGCAUAGCUCCACCAA